UCCCCGAGGAGAGAGCUCUGGCAGGACAAGGCGCCUGGGCAGCACAGCAAGUGCUCCGUGCAGCUCAGCAUGUACCGAGUCAAGCUCUGAUCUGAGGAGCCCUGCUUGAGGCUUUUCAGCAAGAGAGCUGGCUGGAAGCAGAGGGUGGCCACUGAAACCAACUAUUCCACUCCCUGUGAAGUCUGAAUUUGGAAAUCUAGACCCUCGGCUCUUGCAAUUCGCAGUCUCCUUUCUCUGGAGGAGGCUGGUGACCCCUGACACGCUUACGCCUAGGCAGGAAGAGAAGGGCCCUGCGCCUCCUCCUGCUGGGAGAGAGGAUGGCAGUGGGUCACUCUGCUUCCGUCACUUACCUGCUGUAGAGGGUGGAGUCGGUGAUGACGGGGAUGUGAGAGAUCCGUGGUGAGACUGAGCUCUUGUCAGUCUUCGAUGCUGGUGAAUCUUUUAAGAGACCACAAUUCACCACAAAAACAUGGAGAGGAGAAAGAAUCAGCCUUCAUCCUUCUGCCUGAAGCAAAAUCGACCAUGAGCACCGAGGAGAGCCAGGCCCUGAACCAGGUGCUCACGUGGCUCAUCUCCAUUGACCAAGGACAAUAAACAGGUGUUGCUCACCAACU